GUGUGGCUAUACAAUAGUGCAUUAUUAUAAUAAACAUACUAUGACAUAUAUUAUAUCAAUGAGUGUGUAUCAUGAUGUAGGGAAAUAAAAUUAUGUUGUAUAAAAGAAACGCGAUUCGAUACGCGAAAAUGUGCAUUUAUACGUUUCAAUACGCGUAAUCACGUUUAAUGCGCGUCGCUAUUGAUACGCGUAAUCACACACUUUUCAAUCCGCAUAAGUAUGUAGGUAAUCACGUAUAACCGUUUCAGUAUAAGUGUGGCUAUACAAUAGUGCAUUAUUAUUAUAAUAAACAUACUACCUAUGACAUAUUUUUAUAACGAUGUGUUAUCUGAUGUAGAUAUUUUUGCCGUCUCUUUAUCUAAAUCUUUAUCGAAAUUAUGUAUGACUGUUUGUCUCUAAGUAAAUAAAUAAAUAAAAUAAAUAAAUAGACAUAUAAAUGAGUGUGUAUCAUGAUGUAGGGAAAUAAAAUUAUGUUGUAUAAAAGAAACGCGAUAUGAUACGCGUAAAUGUGCAUUU